GCCCAGUGCAGUAUCAGGACAGUCUGAGGUGUGUAGCAGAGCAUUGAAUCUGAAGUCACUCUGAGGACUGGAUCUGCCCAUCCCUCCCCUUCCUUGGUCUUAGCCUUGAUAGAGUUUCAUUGGAACAUGGCACCAACCAUUCUGUUGUUUAUGGUUUUGUUACUCUUGCUUCAACAUAUGGGCAAACAUCCAUGUUCAUAACAGUGUCUUCAGGACCCUCAAGCCUUAACACAUUAGUGUUUGGGAAGGAAUGAGUCAUUCUUCACUUUGUCACAACAAAUACAAAAGAGGAAAAGAGUUUUUCCACAAGAAAGCAACUGAAGCAUCCUGUCAAUGCCAUGUAGCCCUCAUCCAGUGGCUGAUGGAAGCAGAGACAGACAUCCACAGAUAUACACUGAACUGAACUCUGGAACUUAGUUGAAGAGAGGGAGGAAUGAAGAUUGCAGAGGUCAGUACCAGGCUGGUGAAACACACAGAAACAGCUGGCCUGAACAAGGAG
rnacentral:lncRNA from 1 species